AAUAUUUGACAAUGGGGGCAACCCGGAUCCAGCCAUGCCGCGUGUGUGAAAAAGGUCUUCGGGUUUUAAAGCACUUUAAGUAGGGAGGAAGGGCUUUAGGUUAAUACCCCUAAGGUUUGACGGUACCAACAGAAUAAGCACCGGCUAACCCUGUGCCAGCAGCCGCGGUAAUACAGAGGGUGCAAGCGUUAAUCGGAAUUACUGGGCGUAAAGCGCGCGUAGGUGGUUCAGUAAGAUGGGUGUGAAAUCCCCGGGCUUAACCUGGGAACUGCUUUCAUAACUGCUGAGCCAGAGUACGGUAGAGGGUAGUGGAAUUUCCUGUGUAGCGGUGAAAUGCGUAGAUAUAGGAAGGAACACCAGUGGCGAAGGCGACUACCUGGACUGAUACUGACACUGAGGUGCGAAAGCGUGGGGAGCAAAC
rnacentral:rRNA from 1 species